AUGAUGAGGCUGAGGCAAAGACUGCAGUUGAGGGACGGUGGUGACCAUGGAGCCGGUAGCAGCGGUGCCGCUGCCGGGGCUGAUCUUACUGAAGAAAACGGUGAGCAUCAAAGCAGGGAGGCACAGAGGACAUGGAACGAAAUGGCAGUUGUUGAGGAGCAAGCAAAGAUAGACCUUGAAUGGGGGUGGUGCAGCAAACAGUGGUGCGUUAGGGGCUUCCAGUGGACCUCCAGACGAAGAACACUAGCAACGUGUGUGCAGCCUGGCUGCGGCAGCUCUAUACUUAGUGGACAGAGCAAUAGACAAUUCCAUUCUCGCCUGUGCACAUUGCUAUGUCCUUUAUUGUUUUGCAUGUAG
rnacentral:rRNA from 1 species